GUGCCAGGAACUGUGCUAGGCAUAGAAAAUAGACAUGUAAGAGGCAUCAUCCUUAAGGAAGAUAAUAUUUUACUUAGAGUUAAAAAGCACACAAGUUAGAGUUUUCCACUGGGGGCAAACUAUAAUACAAUCAGCUGUCUGGGUGCAUGGGUGAGCCAUGGAGGGCAUCUAGGGAAAACGUCCUACAGGGGGUGAUAACUGAAGUCUUGAGAAAGGACAAAGUUUAGCAGGCAAUGAAAAGAUGACAGAGAUGACAUAACGAAGGUGACACUGCUUACAAAGGGAGAGAGGGCAAAGUCUCAUUCAGGAAAUGAAAGGAUUACUGGUGUGACUGUAGAGGAAAGUACAAGCUGCCUGUGGAGAGGGCAAGAGAAGAGAGGAGCCAUACAUGGAAAAAGACCUCUUGUCCUGGCAAAUCUCCCUGGCCUCCAUCAGGAAGGCUUGAGGGAGUCAUUCAAGGAUUUUAAGAAAACAGGCAGUGUGAUCCUAUCUGAGCGCUCUGACUGCUGGGUGCCUACGAAGUGGUAGCAGGAGAUUAGAAGCAAGGAGGCCCAUAGAGGAGGCUGUGUUCAACCAUCCAGGUACCCUUGAUGAUUUGGUCCCUGGACCAGGCAGAGCUGACAACACAGGUGUCCCCUGGUGUCCAAGUGGAAGACCGCACAUCUCCGAGGAGCUCAGUCCUCCACUGGCAGCUUGGCUUCUAGGGGAAUGCUCAGAAAGUCUCCACAUGUUGUUUCUUCCUCUAAAGGCUGCUGAUGGCAUCAUGGUGAAUAACCACGGCCUGCUUCAUGCUGUUUUGCUUUCAAGUCUGAGAACUUCAUAUGAGAACCUCAGCCUGAAUCAUGUCGCUCCAGGAGCUGUUAUAAUGUACCUGACCAUUGAGAACCUGGAAAGGUUACCUACCAUUCACAACCAAGCCUGCUGGGCACAACGGAGUCACUAUUUCAGUGGCAAGAGAAUGAUUUCAUCCCUACCAUAG
rnacentral:lncRNA from 1 species